rnacentral:misc_RNA from 1 species
UAUAAACAAACAUUGAUGCACACCGUACAAAAUCAGCAAACCAAAAAAUUCACUCAGAGCAAUUGAAAUGAUAGCUAAUUAAAGCCUUAAGUCUAGACUAUUUGAAGGAUGCAACACACUGUUUGUGUUAUAGUGAGUAUGAGGAGAAUGCCAGCUGCAACAACAGAGAUUCCGGUCCAUGGACUGUUGAAAUAAUUUUGUCUCAAGUUGGCUAUCCACUUGUGCCUUAUGUUUUUCUCAUAAGAAUUGAGACCUUCAAAAACAUCAGAAAAGUAGAACAUACUAGGUUUGAUAUAACAUCUAGUGUUGCGUAAAAAAGAUGCCACUGCUUCGUUGUUCUCCUG